ACCAGCGCCGCUGAUGGGAGGUCGCCAACAGAAUAGCUCUGUUCUCUGGCGUUGGCUGGACCCCGGCCACUCUGGACGGCUCCUGACAGGCCCCUUGGGGGUGGAAGGGCCCAGAUGAAGAUCAAAGAGGAACCAAAAGAAGCAUCUGAGGACCAUCCCUGGGGAUUGUCUCAAGAAACACACAGGUCUCUUCCUGAAGAGAAUGUUAUGAACAAUGUGACACAGAAUGAGGACUUGGCUUCCUCUGUCCUGUGAUUCUGGAGAGGUCUCCUUGGCAACUUCCUUUAAUACCAAUAAACCCUUCCUAGAAACUC